rnacentral:rRNA from 1 species
UACGUAGGGAGCGAGCGUUAUCCGGAAUUAUUGGGUGUAAAGGGUGCGUAGACGGGAAUACAAGUUAGUUGUGAAAUCCCUCGGCUUAACUGAGGAACUGCAACUAAAACUAUAUUUCUUGAGUGCAGGAGAGGUAAGUGGAAAUCCUAGUGUAGCGGUGAAAUGCGUAGAUAUUAGGAGGAACACCAGUGGCGAAGGCGACUUACUGGACUGUAACUGACGUUGAGGCACGAAAGUGUGGGGAGCAAACAGG